AAUAAUAUAUGGCAAAUAUCAUGUUAUAAAGGUCAUAGUUAUAAUAAUGAAUUUAACUAUUAUGAUAACAGAAUAUCAUGGUCAUUGGUAUUUUUAUUUUAUUUCUCUAGGUGUGUUUUGAAAUAAGUUGUCCAAUGAGACAUCGUACUGUCCAACUCAAAGAGCCCUGCGCAGGACUAUUUUCCUCACCCCGCCGAAUCUCUGACCAUUACCGCCCGCUCCCGCAACGGAUGUUACACUCCCGUGGGACCCGGCGGUACUCAAUCCCAAUGCAGCCCUCUACCAAGCACAAAGCUAACUUUUGUAAAUUGCACAAAGCACAACAGGAGGGAUCAUGAAAUUUGAUUCUGCAGCCACAGAGAAGUAAAUCAAGAUGCAUGUUUCUGAGCACCUCAAGCACGCGCCGCAAAGAUUGGAGGUAGAGGAUUCACAACUCCCUGAUGAGCCAAGACGAGAGGACUUGAAUUAUAAAUUAAAUUACAAUCUAGUUAUUUGUUCAUAAUUGUGCUUUACUGUGGCCCUUCAAUGACAAUCUAAUUAUUUGUUCAUAAUUAAAUUAAAUUACAAUUUUACACUACAGUGUUCAACACCUGUUAUAGAUGUGUAAAGGCAUGAAUUAAUCAUUUGCACUUUCUGCAUAAAGUGUGAACUAUUCAUCACUUGUAAAUGUCUUACACUACAUUCAUAGAGAUCUACUAACUAAUUAUUUGUUCAUAAUUGUGCUAGAUAUAUUUGGUGCCCUUCAAUUGCAAUCUAAUUAUUUGUUCAUAAUUAAAUUACAAUCUAAUUAUUUGUACAUAAUUGUGCUUGAUAUGUCCGGUGCCCUUCUGAUGCUAUUCAUGGCAAUUUAUUUUUGA